AACUUGUGAUGUUACAAAUUUGCUACUUCUGAUGGAGAUGAUUACUUAACCACCAAGAUCUCUGAGAGAU